AGUGAACUUCCCGAUCUCAAGACGGCAGGAAAUCUAGAGCAGGUAGAGCUGAUUGAUAAGAUCCUUAGUGCUAUGUUGAAUGAAGUACAAGUGAUUGACAUUGAAACAGAAACAGACAGGUCACAAAGCCCUGGAUUGCCAUUGUCACACUCCUCAGUAUCAUUUCACUCAGAAAUAGAUGACCAAACCAAACUCACCGGUACUGCUGUUCUCCCUGAAGUGUUUAUCGAAAGGAUUUCCCCUCUUCUGACGCAUACUUUUGUUGACAUGGAUGCUGCUUCAUUGUCUCCUGGAUGUGUAAAUGAAACCAUCAGUAGUGUGUUAGACACCAUCUUAGAAUGGGAAAAAUGUGUACCCAUCACUGGAAGACUGGAGAAAUUGAUCACUGAAACACAAAUAGGUCAAUAUUCCUAUGAUAUUGCAGAUCGAGUACAUAAAACACUAAAAGGUUAUCAUGGUCUCCAGACCAUUUCCGUGCCAGUUGGAAAGAGUCUUUCAGAUUCUAUGCUUUGCAAAUUAACAUCUAGAGCUGAGGGAAAGAAUGAAAUUCCAUCAGAGUUCGUUUACAGUUAUGUAGAGGAGGCUGUGAAGCGACUACUCCUGUCAUGUUUGUUCCCCUCAGCAUCUUCUGAGAAUCAAGAACGUUUACAGAAUAAUCUAGAGACCUCAAAAUCAUCACCUGAGGUGUUUGGAAGUACAAUGAACGUAUUCACACAAGUGAUGACCAACGAAGUCAUGGUGGCACUCUCCACAGAGUCAAAGAAAAAUGUUUCUUCUGACUUGAAGGAAUUAGUUAAGGAGGAUCAGAAACUCUUAGACAAACGGGCACAGGACACUAAAACUAGAUCAUCCACCACUAACUCAAACAAUCUGCCCCCUCGUACUUUUGACGAACAUACAGAUUUGAUGCAAAAUAGUCAGUGUGAAGGAGUCGCCAGUUCAUGUCACCUACGUCUGUUAGAGUCCAACAAGAAAGACUUUGCCUCCUUGGUCUCCAUGCUGGUCAUUCGACUCCUGAAGAAAGUCAAUAGCUUACAAAAGGACAUUGGCACCCACCAGGAUGGACUUCCAGAUAAUGUGCUGGAUAUGUCCAGAGACUUGAUUCAGAAGAUUCUGUCUGAGCUCAAUACAGCGUUUGGCAUGACAGGCGAUGAAACCUAUCCUAAGGAUGUGAAUUUUCACCAGAUUUACAGAAACGUUUACAAAGAACUUACUCGACAGUUUGGGUCUGAAGAUGUGCUCCGUUUUGCCCUUGAAUCACAAGAUCAAUCUUUUGAAUCAUCACUGGUAGAAACGCUAACAAAAGAGAUAACAAAGACUUGUAGCCAAACCAGCAUACCAGCUUCUACACAUCUCCCUCCAAUUCAACCUACAGUUGGACAAGACCAAGGAAAGGAAAAGACCAGGAACAAAAUGUUUCCAGUUUGGCUCAAGAUGCCAACAAUCAAAUCGAAGAAACCAAAGAGAGGAUCACAGAGUCUCCUUGUAAGCCAGGCCUCUCCUGUUGCAAACACUAAGCUCAGUGAGACGCUGGCUCAGGUCACCAAGGCUCCUGUAUCUGCUGGCCCACUGGAGAUGCCACAGGAGGAAGAGACCGUAGGGUGCUGUUUCUUCAGGAUGCCGAAAUUUAAGUUCUCCUUCAAGAAAAUAAGGAAAGGUGCUAAAAUUGGCCAUUGUGACGAUGAUAAGUCCUUUGAAGAGAACAUCAAUGUCUCAGCCUGUGCAACAUCUUGUCAGACUCGGUUCAAUGAGGCUACUGCUGAACUGACUGCUUCUGAGAGCCAAACUAAACUGGAAGAGACUGCAUCUAGACUGACCAACACAUCUACUCCAAAGAUGGGACUGUCUCACCUAGCUGUUUAAGUCACCGACACAGCUCAAUGAUCCUUUGAAUCAUCGGAUCCUCUAAGAACUCUUCGGUCCUUUCAACUACAUUUUUUUGAACCCCAAUCUGGCUAUUUUAAUUAAACGUAUUAUUGCAUGCAUAUUGGUGUAACUUUGCCAUUUGUUGGGUACUAUAGGGAUGACUACAUACAGUGGCGCUGGGAAGCUUGUGAAUCUGUUGGAGGUUCUUGAAAGUUCUUGAACAACAGCUUUUAGUUGAUUUUAAUCUCAUAUUAAAAUAUCAAAUCAUAUGAAUCUAACUG
ensembl:lncRNA